rnacentral:rRNA from 1 species
GACCUCGGAUCAGGCAGG